CAGACGCUACGAGACCACACCCUUCUUCCAGAAACAUCUCGAAGCUUGCGCCCCGCCCCGCCCCGUCUGAGUCCGACUGGGAUUGAAUGAAAGUAGACCGCAUUUCACAGAUUUUUACUAACAGCACAAACAAAAGUGCAAUAUUCUGUCCGGUUAAAGUGCAAAAAAAAAAAAAACAGUUCCUUCUCUUUCCUUCUUUUUAGGCCUUCCUCAUAUUUUCAGUGAGUACUUCUCACUUCUCGUAAGAUUUAUCAAAAAAGGAGUUGCGAGCAGUCAGUUCAGUUCUGCAUCAGACGAGUGAUUGAACAACGUAGCAACGCCCAAUCACAGUCGGACUCACACGGGGCGGGGCGGGGCGCAAGCUUCGCGAUACUUCUGGAAGAAGGGUGUGGUCUCGUAGCGUCUGAGGUGUGAGGUGAAGUUUUGUGUACAGCCUCUACGUGGUUCGUGGCAAAAGAAAAUCAAAACGGAGGGUUUUCAGCCCGUCACGUCGUCGAGUCGAGCGGCCACGAAGAAGGAGAACCCGAGAGCGCUUCGUGCUACCCGGCAACGCACAAGUUCCCCGGACCUCGCUGGACUUCUCAUGAUGAUGCGCUCCCGAAACGCGAGUGAGACGAUCCCGACUCUUCCUGGUUGUUGCAUGGACAGCAGACGAGAUGGUCUCAGGGCAUCAAUGGGGAGACUGAUUGUGGACCAAUCUUCCUCACUUAAGCACAGUGGGGGUCUUUCCAAGAAGACAGAAGACCGUGGUAACAGCUUCCUUUUGCU
rnacentral:lncRNA from 1 species